GAUGAACGCUGGCGGCGUGCCUAAUACAUGCGAGUCGAGCGAACGGACGAGAAGCUUGCUUUUCUGAUGUUAGCGGCGGACGGGUGAGUAACACGUGGAUAACCUACCUAUAAGACUGGGAUAACUUCGGGAAACCGGAGCUAAUACCGGAUAAUAUUUUGAACCGCAUGGUUCAAAAGUGAAAGACGGUCUUGCUGUCACUUAUAGAUGGAUCCGCGCUGCAUUAGCUAGUUGGUAAGGUAACGGCUUACCAAGGCAACGAUGCAUAGCCGACCUGAGAGGGUGAUCGGCCACACUGGAACUGAGACACGGUCCAGACUCCUGCGGGAGGCAGCAGUAGGGAAUCUUCCGCAAUGGGCGAAAGCCUGACGGAGCAACGCCGCGUGAGUGAUGAAGGUCUUCGGAUCGUAAAACUCUGUUAUUAGGGAAGAACAUAUGUGUAAGUAACUGUGCACAUCUUGACGGUACCUAAUCAGAAAGCCACGGCUAACUACGUG
rnacentral:rRNA from 1 species